GAUUGCAUCGCGUGACGGUUCAUGUACA
rnacentral:sRNA from 1 species